rnacentral:pre_miRNA from 1 species
ACACUGCAUCAGUCUGUGCUUGUUGGCAUAACACUGCAUCAGUCUGUCUUGUGCCAACAAGUACAGACUGAUGCAGUGUUAUGCCAACAAGCACAGACUGAUGCAGUAGU